CGAGGUUGUGAAAUCUGCUACCAGAUCUAUUUUCAGUCAUCAGGCACCCACAUGAAAACUUAGAUUAUAGUAAAUACUACAGUGUUUUUUAACCAUACUGGCACUGACAACUCCAAUAGAGAUAGAGAUGUUGCACAAUCAGCUAAAAUGUUGCUAGAAUUGUUUUUUAUGAAUGGGCGAUAUAUAUUGCAUCAUCAAAAAUGAUUGAGGUCAUGUUCAUGUUGUGUGAUAAGUUGAUAUAUUGAUUAUUGUGACAGGCCUAUUUGCAACCCCUUACAUUUAAAUAAAUGUAGUAAAUUCAGUCAAUCAUUUUUUUUCAGUGUGUCAAACAAUUACAGCAGGAUGCACCGCAAAUCAGAAAGAUUCAUACCUGAUAAUAUGCUGACAAUAAGACCCACUGCGAUGGCUGUAACAGUUCCCAACAGGCCAAAGUACAGAGUUUCUUCCUUAAUCCUGAAGAUGUCCAUGUUUGCAGUCCAGUUAGUGGCAUCUGGUGCCAUAGAGAGGUUACAGCCAUGUGUGUUCAGAGUCAACGGUCUUCUGUUUUCUGCUGGCGGAGGAACAAACCUUAAAGUGCCACUGAAUGCCGCUGCCACAAACAGCCCCGGCAGACCAGGGUAUUCACUCAGGAUAUCCAACACCAGGGACUUGCAUGAUAUGUAUCUCUGCACCUGAGCAUGGUUGAUGCCGUAGAAGCUGGUCCAGUAAAAUGUCCCACCAACUGUGAUGCUCCAGAAAGUGUGUCGCCUCAGAGGGUUUGGGUCGAAGCUGAAAGAGAAGGUUGAUCCGACCCCCGUAGGUGGAGUCACUGAUGAUCCUCGAGAUCCCACCCUGCAGCAGCAGUGAUUGAACGAUCACAGCCAAGAGACCCGCUAACAUGAUGCCAACCUGAAACACAUCCGUCCACACCACUGCCUUCAGGCCACCCUGACAGGUCUGUAGAAGAUUGGCAGGAAGAUCUCAGAGCUCAAAGCCACCAUAAAAGCAUAAGAGAAGCAGAUGAGGAUGAAGAUGGCUCCGUACUUGUACACCUCCACCGGCGUCCCCAGAACGGUGAUAGCAGACAUGAAGCUGGCUGUCAGAGAUAAAGCCACCGGCAUGGCUGACAUACUCCGUCCGGCCACCAGAAAAUCAGCCGAGCUGUUCUGAGAUCUCGCUGCAAAUGCAUAAUAAACCCCGAUUCCUGCAGAAACGGCCAGCAUCAUGAUGAAAACCACAUAAUCCCACACGCCGAAGACUGCGCUGCUCAUCCUCAUCUCAACUUCUGCUACAGGAAACACCCUGCAGGUGAAGAGGGGGAAAAUAAUGAAUAAUUAACAGCAUACACUGUAAACAAAUAUCUGUUAGUUAACAGUUCACUGAAAAAAAUGAUUCACUGGAUUUACUUCAUUUUUACUAAAAGGUAAGUGGUUGAAAACUAUUUAUGUGGGCUGAAUUUAAACAAACAAAUGAAGUUGAACAAUACUAAAUUUAAGUUGUUUGUUUAAAUUCAGCCCAUAUAAAAUGCAACCACUUACUUUAAAGAGAAUAGAAAAUCCAAUCAAUCAUUUAUUUCAGUGUGUUUUCCUUAUAUAGACGGUUGUGAUUUGCAUUGAUCUCUGCUUUUGAUGUCAAACUCAACUCUGCGGUUUAACAAAGUGACUUUUAUUGACAUUUGAGACGUUUGAAAUAAUAUAAUUUAUUAGAAAUAUUAUAUUCAGAAAUGCGUCUGUAAAAUUACAGAAAAUAUACUGGCGGUUUAUUACAAGGUUUUUGUAAUACACAACAGCAACCCAGACAAUAUAUCACUUUUAACUAUUAAAUAUGUUAAUAAAAAUCACUUAUUUGAACUUUCCAAAGUUAAAGGUUGUUGAAAGUGUUAUGACCUUCUAUUGAGUAUAAAGCCCCUAUCGUACACCCACUGCAACAAGUCGCAAGACGUGUUUGGUGCUAUUUGUUGCUAUUUUCAACCCUAAUUUUCACAUUUUGCGCCACGUUGUUUAAAUAGCAAAUCCAUUUGCGCUACUUUGUUGACUCAUGUGCUGGGUCAAAACGGUCCUGUUCUUAAUCUUGUUUAGUGUGUUCAACUGUGGUAGCAUCUUUUAAUUAGGCAAAAUCUCUAUUUUAUUUAUUUUUUGCUCCUUUUAUGGUUACACUCUCUGUGUUUUUUCCUAUUAUGUGCCUAUUGCUGUUACUGUUUUU